rnacentral:tRNA from 2 species
GGCGCCGUAGCCAAGUGGUAAGGCAGAGGUCUGCAAAACCUCCAUCAGGGGUUCGAUCCCCCUCGGCGCCU